GAUGAACGCUGGCGGCGUGCCUAAUACAUGCAAGUCGAGCGAACGGACGAGAAGCUUGCUUCUCUGAUGUUAGCGGCGGACGGGUGAGUAACACGUGGAUAACCUACCUAUAAGACUGGGAUAACUUCGGGAAACCGGAGCUAAUACCGGAUAAUAUUUUGAACCGCAUGGUUCAAAAGUGAAAGACGGUCUUACUGUCACUUAUAGAUGGAUCCGCGCUGCAUUAGCUAGUUGGUAAGGUAACGGCUUACCAAGGCAACGAUGCAUAGCCGACCUGAGAGGGUGAUCGGCCACACUGGAACUGAGACACGGUCCAGACUCCUACGGGAGGCAGCAGUAGGGAAUCUUCCGCAAUGGGCGAAAGCCUGACGGAGCAACGCCGCGUGAGUGAUGAAGGUCUUCGGAUCGUAAAACUCUGUUAUUAGGGAAGAACAUAUGUGUAAGUAACUGUGCACAUCUUGACGGUACCUAAUCAGAAAGCCACGGCUAACUACG
rnacentral:rRNA from 1 species